GUACAUGAGGGUGAUCUGGCUGCAACAUCUGUCACCCCACUGAGCUCCAGGGUUGACCCGGCUGAUCUGGCUGGCUGCAGGUGUCCCCCCUCCUCCCUCAUGCUGCAAGUACCUCCCUCCAGAAGGAAGAAGAUGCUUUCCCUGAAUAGAAGACAGACCUGGUCUUUGGUUGAGGGUAUCCAAGUAGAGUAGCUGCACUCCCUGGCUAAGAACCUCCAAACCAGGCUCUCAGAAUAUAUUAAAGAAAAGUAUUCAUUUAAGAAUUCACUUACAACAAUAAAACAACAAGGGCAACAAAAGGGAAUAAAUAAAUAAAAUAAAUAU
rnacentral:snRNA from 1 species